CAAGACAUAUUUUUUCCUGUAAAAGUGCAGCGCAAGAUAUUUUUUCCCAAUAUAUUUCGCGGCAGGAUAUUUUUUGUCUCUCAUAAUAACGGCUUACAUGCAGUAACAUAAGGCUUUCAUACCGCUAUCGUCAGAGACGUAGCUGGGAUUUUCAGUCAGAGGAGGCCGAGAAAAUCCCAAGAGGGGCCAAGGAAUUUUCACUGUGCUCUAUUUUAUGUGGUUAUGUCUUAA